GCUAAACGCGAAGAACCUUACCUGGCCUUGACAUGUCCGGAAUUCUGCAGAGAUGCGGAAGUGCCUUCGGGAAUCGGAACACAGGUGCUGCAUGGCUGUCGUCAGCUCGUGUCGUGAGAUGUUGGGUUAAGUCCCGCAACGAGCGCAACCCUUGUCCUUAGUUGCCAGCGAGUAAUGUCGGGAACUCUAAGGAGACUGCCGGUGACAAACCGGAGGAAGGUGGGGAUGACGUCAAGUCCUCAUGGCCCUUACGGCCAGGGCUACACACGUACUACAAUGGUCGGUACAGAGGGUUGCCAAACCGCAAGGUGGAGCCAAUCCCAGAAAGCCGAUCCCAGUCCGGAUCGGAGUCUGCAACUCGACUCCGUGAAGUCGGAAUCGCUAGUAAUCGCGGAUCAGCUAUGCCGCGGUGAAUACGUUCCCGGG
rnacentral:rRNA from 1 species